UAGUGUUGUUGGGUAGGGGAGCGUUCUGUAAGCCGUUGAAGGUGUCCUGUGAGGGGUGCUGGAGGUAUCAGAAGUGCGAAUGCUGACAUAAGUAACGAUAAAGCGGGUGAAAAGCCCGCUCGCCGGAAGACCAAGGGUUCCUGUCCAACGUUAAUCGGGGCAGGGUGAGUCGACCCCUAAGGCGAGGCCGAAAGGCGUAGUCGAUGGGAAACGGGUUAAUAUUCCCGUACUUGGUGUUACUGCGAAGGGGGGACGGAGAAGGCUAUGUUGGCCGGGCGACGGUUGUCCCGGUUUAAGCGUGUAGGUGUGUGUUCCAGGUAAAUCCGGUUCACUUUAACACUGAGGCGUGAUGACGAGGCACCACGGUGCUGAAGCAACAAAUGCCCUGCUUCCAGGAAAAGCCUCUAAGCAUCAGGUAACAUCAAAUCGUACCCCAAACCGACACAGGUGGUCAGGUAGAGAAUACCAAGGCGCUUGAGAGAACUCGGGUGAAGGAACUAGGCAAAAUGGUGCCGUAACUUCGGGAGAAGGCACGCUGACACGUAGGUGAAGUGAUUUACUCAUGGAGCUGAAGUCAGUCGAAGAUACCAGCUGGCUGCAACUGUUUAUUAAAAACACAGCACUGUGCAAACACGAAAGUGGACGUAUACGGUGUGACGCCUGCCCGGUGCCGGAAGGUUAAUUGAUGGGGUCAGCGCAAGCGAAGCUCCUGAUCGAAGCCCCGGUAAACGGCGGCCGUAACUAUAACGGUCCUAAGGUAGCGAAAUUCCUUGUCGGGUAAGUUCCGACCUGCACGAAUGGCGUAAUGAUGGCCAGGCUGUCUCCACCCGAGACUCAGUGAAAUUGAACUCGCUGUGAAGAUGCAGUGUACCCGCGGCAAGACGGAAAGACCCCGUGAACCUUUACUAUAGCUUGACACUGAACAUUGAGCCUUGAUGUGUAGGAUAGGUGGGAGGCUUUGAAGCGUGGACGCCAGUCUGCGUGGAGCCGACCUUGAAAUACCACCCUUUAAUGUUUGAUGUUCUAACGUGGACCCGUAAUCCGGGUUGCGGACAGUGUCUGGUGGGUAGUUUGACUGGGGCGGUCUCCUCCUAAAGAGUAACGGAGGAGCACGAAGGUUGGCUAAUCCUGGUCGGACAUCAGGAGGUUAGUGCAAUGGCAUAAGCCAGCUUGACUGCGAGCGUGACGGCGCGAGCAGGUGCGAAAGCAGGUCAUAGUGAUCCGGUGGUUCUGAAUGGAAGGGCCAUCGCUCAACGGAUAAAAGGUACUCCGGGGAUAACAGGCUGAUACCGCCCAAGAGUUCAUAUCGACGGCGGUGUUUGGCACCUCGAUGUCGGCUCAUCACAUCCUGGGGCUGAAGUAGGUCCCAAGGGUAUGGCUGUUCGCCAUUUAAAGUGGUACGCGAGCUGGGUUUAGAACGUCGUGAGACAGUUCGGUCCCUAUCUGCCGUGGGCGCUGGAAGACUGAGGGGGGCUGCUCCUAGUACGAGAGGACCGGAGUGGACGCAUCACUGGUGUUCGGGUUGUCAUGCCAAUGGCACUGCCCGGUAGCUAAAUGCGGAAAAGAUAAGUGCUGAAAGCAUCUAAGCACGAAACUUGCCCCGAGAUGAGUCUUCCCUGAGACCUUGAGUCUCCUGAAGGAACGUUAAAGACGAUGACGUUGAUAGGCCGGGUGUGUAAGCGCAGCGAUGCGUUGAGCUAACCGGUACUAAUGAACCGUGAGGCUUAACCUU
rnacentral:rRNA from 1 species